AAGUGGUGAGACAGCUUUCAAGAAUAUGACUAUUCCUUAUGGAUGGGCAAAAAGGCCAAUGCUCCAGCGAAUUGGUAAAAUGCACCCUGACAUUCCAGUUUCAGUGAUCUUUGGCGCCCGAUCCUGCAUAGAUGGCAAUUCUGGCACCAGCAUCCAGUCCUUACGACCACAUUCAUAUGUGAAGACAAUAGCUAUUCUUGGGGCAGGACAUUAUGUAUAUGCAGAUCAACCAGAAGAAUUCAACCAGAAAGUAAAGGAGAUCUGCGACACUGUGGACUGAACACACUGAAGCUCUGAUGGGAAAACCUGUGUGCUUUCUGGUGACCAUGAACGGAUGCUGUCAGUAGAUGCCUUGGUGCUCUUUAUGGGGCUGGUGCAACUACCCCCAACUGUCAGGAAGAUGUCCCCUAGUGGCUUAUAUCUGUCUCCUCUGCAGAAUUGCCCUUGGCCAAACAGGUGCUUCCUCACCUGGGAGAUCACACCCCUGCAGCCGAUGAUUGACUGACACGUGGGUGCAGAAAGCCUGCCCUCUUGCCUCCAGGUGGGACCCAGUCUGUGGUGCAAUUCGUGUUCCUGGGCACCUGUGGGACUGGCUGAAGUUAAACUUCAGAUUAAACUACAUCCUUAAUUA
rnacentral:sRNA from 1 species